GCGCUCUUAGCUCAGCAGGAUAGAGCAAUAGCCUUCUAAGCUAUUGGUCACAGGUUCGAAUCCUGUAGAGCGCA
rnacentral:tRNA from 2 species